CAAAAUACAUAUCAACUCAGUGAAAUACCUACAUAAAUUAUAUUCAUUUAUCAUUUUGUGUUGUUUCUGGCGUCACUUAAUUAUACUCCUGAAUCGAUUCAUUAAAAAACGCCUAAAUAAGGAAAAAACAGAAAUGAUUAUGUUCGGUCACAGAAUAUACAAAAACCUAUUUCUCUAUUCUGUGGUUCAGUGAUCAUGUUUCAAAUGUCAUUGUAAAGAAAUAUUCAUUGUAGGUUAUCCAGAUUUCAUAAUUAUGCAACUAGAUAUUUCAAAAUUAUCAGCAAUACGAGCAUAAUUAAAUUGGUAACUUCAAUCUACGGUGACUAUAACCGUACACUACUAUAUAAAGCGAAGAAAUUAAAGGACGGGAAGAAUGAGUCCAUGGAAACAUAUAACUGAACUUAAAUGGUACGCAUUACCCAUCACAGGAGGUAUUAUAGGAUGGUAUAUAGAACAAACUGAGCAUUUGAGAUUCGCCCUUUUUAGAGAUAAAAGUAUGCUCUAUGGAAGGGUUCUCAAAGAAGGAGAAAAGCCGUCUUGGCCCUGAAGUUAAUAGUAAAACUUUUAAAGUUAUGUAGUACUCCGUAAAAAUAAAUUUUCUUGUGAAAUCUA